rnacentral:rRNA from 1 species
UACGGGGGGAGCAAGCGUUGUCCGGAUUUACUGGGCGUAAAGAGCGCGCAGGCGGUCGUUCAAGUCGAGUGUGAAAGCCCCCGGCUCAACUGGGGAGGGUCACUCGAUACUGAUCGACUCGAAGGCAGAAGAGGGAAGCGGAAUUCCCGGUGUAGUGGUGAAAUGCGUAGAUAUCGGGAGGAACACCAGUGGCGAAGGCGGCUUUCUGGUCUGCUCUUGACGCUGAGGCGCGAAAGCUAGGGUAGCAAACGGGG